rnacentral:piRNA from 1 species
GAAAUGCUUGAGCUAUCUUUUUAAGAUCUG